UGGCGGCGUGCUUAACACAUGCAAGUCGAACGGCAGCACGGGAGCAAUCCUGGUGGCGAGUGGCGAACGGGUGAGUAAUAUAUCGGAACGUGCCCGGUCGUGGGGGAUAACGUAGCGAAAGCUACGCUAAUACCGCAUACGAUCUAUGGAUGAAAGCGGGGGAUCGCAAGACCUCGCGCGAUUGGAGCGGCCGAUAUCAGAUUAGGUAGUUGGUGAGGUAAAGGCUCACCAAGCCGACGAUCUGUAGCUGGUCUGAGAGGACGACCAGCCACACUGGGACUGAGACACGGCCCAGACUCCUACGGGAGGCAGCAGUGGGGAAUUUUGGACAAUGGGCGCAAGCCUGAUCCAGCAAUGCCGCGUGCAGGAUGAAGGCCUUCGGGUUGUAAACUGCUUUUGUACGGAACGAAACGGUGAGCUCUAAUACAGUUUGCUAAUGACGGUACCGUAAGAAUAAGCACCGGCUAACUACGUG
rnacentral:rRNA from 1 species